rnacentral:rRNA from 1 species
GAUCAGCCACACUGGGACUGAGACACGGCCCAGACUCCUACGGGAGGCAGCAGUGGGGAAUAUUGGACAAUGGGCGCAAGCCUGAUCCAGCCAUGCCGCGUGAGUGAUGAAGGCCUUAGGGUUGUAAAGCUCUUUCAGUGGGGACGAUAAUGACGGUACCCACAGAAGAAGCCCCGGCUAACUUCGUGCCAGCAGCCGCGGUAAUA